rnacentral:lncRNA from 1 species
UUUACAACUGCAUCAUACAUCUCAACCCCAUCACUCCAUAACAAUAUUAAAUUGUCUAUAAGUGGUGCCAGAUAAACAUCUAUGUCAUUACCUGACUGUUUUGGUCCUGGGAUUAAUAGACUCAACAUCAAAUUUUCCUUCGACAUGCAUGAUGAGGGAGGCAAGUUGUAUAUAGUUAAAAUAACUGGCCAACAACUAUAUUUAGAGCUAAGAUCUUUGAAAGGAUUGAAUCCAUCGGUGGCAAGACCUAAUCU